AUUAAAUUAAUAAAUAUUUUUUAUAAAAAUUUUGGGAAGAUGGAAUUAUGAAGUUGCCUGAAAGAUGACAGAAGGUAGUGGAACAAAAGGGUGAAUACGUUAUUCAAUAAACUUCUUGGUGAAAAUUAGAAAUGUG